UCUUGGUCUGCGACACGGCGCCACGAAAGCAUGGAGGGAAGAGGUGUUCAACAACGUGUCAGUAUACGGGAUGCAGCACAGAACCUCCUCUCUGUCUUGCAACCUAUUGUCCAGCAAUUGCCAGAUGAACCUGUGGGAACAUCUCAACCGCAAAGUAACCUAACUGCAGGGCAACAGCCUACAGUUCAUCAGGAAAUGACCAGGUCAUUUCCUGGAUUGUUCCAGAGAGGUCAAAGAGGUAGAAAGAGGCCAUAUGUUGGAGUAAGGCAAAAUGUCUCGGUCUCCAAGACAUGCUCUUUUAUUUUUUACCUGCUUCCAAAGACCAUGAGCCGCACACCACAGCCGUCUGAUGAAGUAUCCUAUUUGAUGUCAGGGCUUGGCCGGAAGAAUGUUUCUAUGUCAGAGGACAGUGACCAUACCCAGAUCACAUCACUUCUAACCCAAGAGUUUCCCAAAAUGGGGAAUUUAACUGGGGGAUGGCUCCUCUACAAAGCCUCAGGAGGCACUGGACAACGCAAGCUAAGCUUGCUUCCACCCGAAGCAGAGGGGUACUCUGCCAGACAGUUAAAAAUUGCUUCUAACAAUGGCAAAAACACACUAUUCAUUAUGCCUCUGCAAGAAGAACUUGAUACAACUCCCCUCCCACAAGAUGACAGUUUCUUUUCAAAAAUGCCGAAAAGUGACUGUAAAAAAUGUGGGUCAAGAAUGCCGGUGCAUGUUCUGCUAGUCCACCUGGAGAAAUGUCAAGGGACACUACAGGACUCUGAAGCAUGUGAUGAGAUCCCAGAGGACAAUGCAACAUGUCCAGUGUGUUCAUGUGUAUUCUCCUCUGCCACAAUUGAAAUGCAUGCCAGCAUGUGUGGUGAGAGGGACAUUGAUCCAUCAGAUGGCACAGUUGGAGGCCCUAGAAGGUCCAUCCAGAAGUUUCUCAGUAGCAGCACCCACUGAUUCUACUACAGAUGAGUGGCAAGUAGCCUUGGACCCUGCUAAAGCUGCCAUACUGUUCAGAGAGGCUCUUCUCAAAACGCAUGACUCUGGACCUCCACUGUGUUUAAGGAUGGAUUUAAGAGAGAGCCCAGAAGACCAGGACAGGACAAUUGUUGCAUUCUAUAAAGCACACCAAAAAAACUGGGCAGGUCCAUUGAAUUGCAAAUUGGAGGGGGACACUGCUAUUGGAGAGGGGGUGACCCGUUUCUUCUCC